rnacentral:rRNA from 1 species
AGGGCGGCACCUUGACGGUACCUAACCAGAAAGCCACGGCUAACUACGUGCCAGCAGCCGCGGUAAUACGUAGGUGGCAAGCGUUGUCCGGAAUUAUUGGGCGUAAAGGGCUCGCAGGCGGGUUCUUAAGUCUGAUGUGAAAGCCCCCGGCUCAACCGGGGAGGGUCAUUGGAAACUGGGGAACUUGAGUGCAGAAGAGGAGAGUGGAAUUCCACGUGUAGCGGUGAAAUGCGUAGAGAUGUGGAGGAACACCAGUGGCGAAGGCGACUCUCUGGUCUGUAACUGACGCUGAGGAGCGAAAGCGUGGGGAGCGAACAG